AUACUUACCUGGCAAGGGCGAUACCAUGAUCAUAAAGAUGGUUUUCCCAGGGGUAGAGUUAUCCCUUUCUCUUGGGAUGUGCUAAUCCCUGUGAUUUCUCCAAAUGUGGGAAACCAAACUGCAUAAUUUGUGGUAAUGGGGACUGAGUAUGCACUCUCCCCUG